UACGUAGGGUGCAAGCGUUGUCCGGAAUUAUUGGGCGUAAAGGGCUCGUAGGCGGUUUGUCGCGUCGGGAGUGAAAACUCAGGGCUUAACCCUGAGCCUGCUUCCGAUACGGGCAGACUAGAGGUAUGCAGGGGAGAAUGGAAUUCCUGGUGUAGCGGUGAAAUGCGCAGAUAUCAGGAGGAACACCGGUGGCGAAGGCGGGUCUCUGGGCAGUAACUGACGCUGAGAAGCGAAAGCGUGGGUAGCGAACAGG
rnacentral:rRNA from 1 species